rnacentral:rRNA from 1 species
AGAGUUUGAUCCUGGCUCAGAGCGAACGCUGGCGGAAUGCUUAACACAUGCAAGUCGCACGGGGGCUUCGGCCUUAGUGGCGGACGGGUGAGUAACGCGUAGGAACGUGUCUUGGGGUGGGGGAUAACGCUGGGAAACUGGCGCUAAUACCGCAUGUCUGCUGCGGCAGAAAGCCUUCGGGUGCCUUGAGAGCGGCCUGCGUCCGAUUAGCUAGUUGGUGGGGUAAAGGCUUACCAAGGCUUCGAUCGGUAGCUGGUCUGAGAGGACGAUCAGCCACACUGGGACUGAGACACGGCCCAGACUCCUACGGGAGGCAGCAGUGGGGAAUAUUGGACAAUGGGCGCAAGCCUGAUCCAGCAAUUCCGCGUGGGUGAAGAAGGUCUUCAGAUUGUAAAGCCCUUUCGACAGGGACGAUGAUGACGGUACCUGUAGAAGAAGCCCCGGCUAACUUCGUGCCAGCAGCCGCGGUAAUACGAAGGGGGCUAGCGUUGCUCGGAAUUACUGGGCGUAAAGGGCGCGUAGGCGGCGCUGUUAGUCAGGCGUGAAAUUCCUGGGCUCAACCUGGGGACUGCGCUUGAUACGGCAGUGCUUGAGGAUGGAAGAGGCUCGCGGAAUUCCCAGUGUAGAGGUGAAAUUCGUAGAUAUUGGGAAGAACACCGGUGGCGAAGGCGGCGAGCUGGUCCAUUACUGACGCUGAGGCGCGACAGCGUGGGGAGCAAACAGGAUUAGAUACCCUAGUAGUCC